AUUUCUAUAUCAAAUAAAAAAAAUAUUUAAGAAGAAAAAAUUCAAGGCACUCCAGUGUCUAUAACUUUUAAUAUUUUUGAGCAUUAUCAAAUCUGGUUGAUAAAAAGUAAAACCCAAAGGGUCUUCUUUCCAAAGACACCAAAAUUACGUUUGUAACACACUGAAGUAGGAAACUGUUACAAUUUGUUAGGUAGAGCACUUUCAGCUGUGAGUCCCAUAAUGGGGGGUGCUGGCUAACCGUUAACUUCAAAGACCAUGCUUGAAGUACAGUUAGUGUGAAAAAAUGUAUAUAAACAUUCUGUACUUCUCCAGCAUGUGUGGUGCCUCCCCUUCCGUAGAUGAGCUGGGGGCAUCAACCGUCAGACCCCCCUGUGGCUCUGGUGGCAGCACACCUCUCUCCUGGAGCCUCAUGACAUACCUGCCGACAUGCAUUGGUGGGAGAAGUGAAGCCUUUGCACAUCGGCUGUUGGAUUGCUAAGAGGGACACUUGAAGCCCCGAGGAAGAACCGGUCCUUGUCGUCUCUACUGGAGCUUGGGCCUUUAAAUAUUCUGGCCGGAUAUGAACAAACUCCUUUGGACAGCGUUACAGUGACUCCGUCUGCCUCUGGCACUCUGUCGUUCCACUCCUGGACCUGUGAAAACAUUCAAACAGAAACAAUAAGG